UACGGAGGGGGCAAGCGUUGUUCGGAAUUACUGGGCGUAAAGGGCGCGCAGGCGGCUGCUCAAGUCAGGCGUGAGAGGCCUGGGCUCAACCCGGGAAUUGCGCUUGAGACUGGGCUGGCUUGAGUGCGGGAGAGGAUGGUGGAAUUCCCAGUGUAGAGGUGAAAUUCGUAGAUAUUGGGAAGAACACCGGUGGCGAAGGCGGCCAUCUGGACCGCAACUGACGCUGAGGCGCGAAAGCGUGGGGAGCAAACAGG
rnacentral:rRNA from 1 species